rnacentral:rRNA from 1 species
ACCGUACUGGGAAACUGGUAUUUCUUCGGACAUUUUGCAAGGUGCUGCAUGGUGUCGUCAGCUCGUGCCGUGAGGUGUCGGGUUAAGUCCCAUAACGAGCGCAACCCCUAUUGUUAGUUGCCAUCAGGUCAUGCUGGGGACUCUAACAAAACUGCCCGCGUAAGCGUGGAGGAAGUGGGGAUGACGUCAAAUCAGCACGGCCCUUACGUCCAGGGCUACACACGUGCUACAAUGGCCGGUACAGGGGGCAGCCACUUGGUGACAAGGAGCAAAUCUCAAAAGCCGGUCUCAGUUCGGAUCGGAGUCUGCAACUCGACUCCGUGAAGUUGGAUUCGCUAGUAAUCGUAGAUCAGCAAUGCUACGGUGAAUACGUUCCCGGGCCUU